rnacentral:lncRNA from 1 species
CAGGUAAAUGGGACUUUUUAGGUAAUCUAGUGAUUUUACAUGAUCAAAAAUCCAUAUUUGAUUAAUUUUUUCUUUUUUUUUUUUGAAGGCCAAUUCUCUCUCUGUCGCCAGGCUGGAGUGCAGUGGCAUGAUCUCUGCUCACUGCAACCUCCCACUCCCUGGUUCAAGCAAUUCUCCUGCCUCAGCCUCUCCAGUAGCUGGGACUACAGCUAUACUCUCAGAGGAGUUAAGGCGCUUUCAUUCAUUCAUUCUACUGACUCUGGACCUGGCAUAGCGCUAGGUAAAUAA